AGCGAACGCUGGCGGCAGGCCUAACACAUGCAAGUCGAACGAACCCUUCGGGGUUAGUGGCGGACGGGUGAGUAACACGUGGGAACGUGCCUUUAGGUUCGGAAUAACUCAGGGAAACGUGUGCUAAUACCGAAUGUGCCCUUCGGUGGAAAGAUUUAUUGCCUUUAGAGCGGCCCGCGUCUGAUUAGCUAGUUGGUGAGGUAAUGGCUCACCAAGGCUACGAUCAGUAGCUGGUCUGAGAGGAUGACCAGCCACAUUGGGACUGAGACACGGCCCAAACUCCUACGGGAGGCAGCAGUGGGGAAUCUUGCGCAAUGGGCGAAAGCCUGACGCAGCCAUGCCGCGUGGAUGAUGAAGGUCUUAGGAUUGUAAAAUCCUUUCACCGGUGAAGAUAAUGACUGUAGCCGGAGAAGAAGCCCCGGCUAACUUCGUGCCAGCAGCCGCAGUAACAC
rnacentral:rRNA from 1 species